rnacentral:ncRNA from 1 species
ACGGAAGCCCGUACGGCCAAGGUCGAUCCAGAAGAGAAGGGUCGAUCUCCCGGACAGGGCAACCGAGCACGGUUCUCGGCACCCACGCGGAGUCAUAGCCGCGAUAAUGGCAGAAGUGUUGCGGGCCUGCGUAAUUGCGAAGAGUGGAUGGGAUCACGGCCCUUUGGGUGGGGCGGUAACCGGAAGCGUCGCGAGAACGCCGAGGCCAUCCCACGCAGCCCACAGGUGCACGCAUGGUAACCGAGAUCCGUGCUAGCGGGCGGCGAGCCGAAAGCCUUCGGUACGCCGCCCGCUUUAUCAA